AAAAAACUCAGUAAAAUGUACGCGCACACGGUGAGCUAUCGGCUGAGCUAACAGGCACGAGUAACUUUUUGCUCAGCAGAUAGCUCUCGUGUGCUGCAGGCUUUAGGCACUCAGAGUGAUGUCGCCAGGAUUUCUAGUCGAGGUUCUGGCUAUACGUCUAUGAUUAUAAACGGUUUACAAAUUCGGAAACAAAAGAGAAGAUAUCACGCUCCAAAAACAAUCACAGAGAACAAAGAGAAUAAUGAAUUAAACAAGUAUAUACGUCCAUAAAUGAGAUACAAGAAACGUUUGUCCUCAUCGAGAGCAUUCUCAGCGGUUGAACAAAUAAACUCGCACCAUGCAGUAACAAGCCACGAUAAAGUUUAUUGCAACUUGUUUCAAAACAAAUUACGAAUCAAAGCAUUAAAUCAAAGUAUGACACGACUUGAGAACGGACUUGAUAGCCAAACAAAGCGAUGUUCUUUUGCUUUGUUUUAAAUUUUUAUGGGUUUUUUUCACAAGCUACAGCUCAUCACUAAAUGUAGUGCAGCUGUGGCUGUGCAAUUUUAUCACAUGUAUAUAUAACAUCAUGUAUAAAUAUCAUGUAAAUAUUCAAUGUGGGUGUAAAUAUUUAAAACACUUUUAAUUCUGCUUACUGCAUGUAUAUAUUGCGAAUUGGAAGCGCUUUAUUACUUUAUUAUACUAUAUAGUCUAUGGUGUUAAUAACAGUUUAUUCAGCACUACAGUAGUUAUAGGUUAAUCCUGAAACGAUUAUUAGCUAAUUAUAGGUAUUAGUAAAAUAACAUAAAGGUAUUUUUCAUGGAUGCAUACAACUUGACACUUGUUGGUAUUCGGGAAGAGUACUAUAUAUAAGUGGUGCAAAACCUUUUGCUGAUAUAUUUAGUUUAGUUUAGUAGAUAUUAAGUCAAUAUAAAAAGGCAGUUCACUACAGUUGCAACCGUUAUAUUGGUAUAUCACUAUACGAGAUCAUAGUUGCCAGUUAUAGAAAUGAAUUUACGUCAAGGAAAAAUUCCAUGCACAUUAAUUAAGAUAAAUGUGAAUAGCGUAUAAUUAUAUACUAAAAGUUAUUUUAAGUUUUUUUUUGUAAGAUUCACUUAGAAUACUGUUCAAUGUCAUGCAGUAUAUACAAUUCAGAUGUUGCAUCAUUAUAAUUAUACUGUAAAAUUCAGAUGUUGCAUUCAUGCAUAAGUUGAAGAGAUUGUUUUAAUAUGUUCAUCAUAAUGUGCUUUCAAUAUAAUUGAUAAAUUAGUUUGUAUAUAUAAGACGUAAAUUUAGAACUGUAAGACAAUUAUAUAUAAGCUCAUGCAUGUUCAUGGUUCCGUUUAUAAGUAUCUUCAAAAACUCAUUAAUAAUUCGUGAGGAAAACACAAAGAAAAAUCAUAAGCGUGGCGUGUCUUUAUAUGUGAUAAAACACGCUUCAAAUUUCAACUUGUAUUUUCUCAGCUAAUACAAAGUUAUUUUGGAAAAUUAUUUCGCCAAUGCCGUCAUCUAACUGAGACGUUUUUGAAGCUGUUUNNNNNNNNNNNNNNNNNNNNAAACUCGUAGUUCGUGUUUUAUCACAUAUAAAACACUCCGCUACGCGUCGUGUUUUAUAUGUGAUAAAACACUCCUACUCGUUUAUUAAACAGUACAUGACUGACAUCGAGGCUCGCAUGCACAGCUCAAUAAAUAAUAAAAAUUGAAAUGAAGGAAAUUCAAGUCAACGUGCCGUGAAGAAAAUUCAAAAGAAACGAAUGUUUAGUCAAUAUUUGUAAAAUGGGUUAGAGAUUUCGUCCUGAUUUUUCUCGGCUAAAAGAGCUAUAUCGCCAAAAUAAUUGGUAAAUUUGAACAACAUAUAAGUACAAAGUCAAACGUUGAUAAUUGCAUAAGCAGCAUGAAAUCAAAACCACACAACGUAAGCAAAGUACUGGCGAUAAAUUAAAUUAAAUUACCAUUACAUCAUAUAUACUAAGGGAAAAUGUAAAGCCUUUAUCAAACAGUAUCCAGCAAUAUUAGGAGGCAAUGAAAUAAAUCAUUAUUGCCUAUAAUAUAGUAUAGAUUGUCUUCGCAAAAUGAAAGAAAAACGUAAUUGUAAACUAUAGGCAAAGCAAAGUGAUUGUUUCUUUCCCCCUCGGAUAUCAAAUGUUUAUAUAUAAGUAUAGUAUAUACAUUAUAGUGGCAAGAG
rnacentral:lncRNA from 1 species